rnacentral:rRNA from 1 species
UACGUAGGCAGCGAGCGUUGUUCGGAAUUACUGGGCGUAAAGAGUGUGUAGGCGGUGCUCCCAGUCUGUUGUGAAAUCUCCCGGCUUAACUGGGAGGGUGCAGCGGAAACUAGAGUGCUAGAGGGUGGGAGAGGUAAGCGGAAUUCCUGGUGUAGCGGUGAAAUGCGUAGAUAUCAGGAGGAACACCGAUGGCGAAGGCAGGUCUCUGGGCUGACACUGACGCUCAUGCACGAAAGCGUGGGAGCAAACAGG